UGGCUUAUAAAAUGAUGAAACCCUUAAGAUUCUCUCAUGGCAGUGUGGGAGAAUGACAUCACAUCUGAUACUUCUCUGACGUUGUCGUUUAAGGUAAGAUGUUUCCCGUCAUCAUACACACGACGAAAGGACGAGCUGAUGUAUCAAUACUUCCGAACCUACUACAUAGUCACAUACAUCAUAUGAAGUAAGUUCUUUGAAUUGGUUAAGUGAAAGUUUCCGUUUAGUUGUAUUUUAAUAUGGAAUGUUUGAUUCAUUAUGAUAUGCAUUAAAGCGAAAUGAAAUGAUUUAUAAUGAUCAUCGUAUAUUCUAUUUUAAUAUUUGCGACGGGGACGUAUCCCACUUAGGACUUAGACUUUCUUCCAAAAAACGGAGUACAUGUACUUAGUUGCACUUAAACAUUAAUGAUGAAUGUCGGAAACAUCAGUCAAUUGUUCAUUUCCUGUAUUCAAAGUUUACGAAUUUAGUUAAACAUCUAUAACUUUUAAGAUGAAAUCAUAGACUGUUGUAUGAUUAAUCCUCAGUGGCAAAUAUUUCAUGCAUACCGCUUAAAAUGACAUGAUUUCUUACAUCAAUGUUAGAAUGUACAUAUUUUUUAAAAAGCUUCAACAAAGCAGUUCUUUCUCCAAAAUGCCAAUACUGGGCAUGUUGCGUGUAUUUAGUGUUCAAUGAACACUUCAAUAUAAUAUAAGAGAGAGUACUGUAUCAGUGUGACUAUUUACCACAAGAGUUCAAAUGACUGACGAGUAUAUAAGCGAUUAAAGGUCACCAUACGCAUACGGCCUUCAACAAUGAAACAACUUAUACCGUAUAGUCGGUUAUAAAAGGGCUUCGACAUAAAAAUGUGAAACAAAUGGAUAUGAUAUAUUUGGUCUUAUAUUACCUUUGUAUCAUGAUACUUAUUUACACAAAUUUAUUUCUGCUGUGUAAACCGCCC
rnacentral:lncRNA from 1 species